rnacentral:rRNA from 1 species
GGCGUCUAAUACUGGAUAUGUGACGUGACCGCAUGGUCUGCGUUUGGAAAGAUUUUUCGGUUGGGGAUGGGCUCGCGGCCUAUCAGCUUGUUGGUGAGGUAAUGGCUCACCAAGGCGUCGACGGGUAGCCGGCCUGAGAGGGUGACCGGCCACACUGGGACUGAGACACGGCCCAGACUCCUACGGGAGGCAGCAGUGGGGAAUAUUGCACAAUGGGCGAAAGCCUGAUGCAGCAACGCCGCGUGAGGGAUGACGGCCUUCGGGUUGUAAACCUCUUUUAGCAGGGAAGAAGCGAAAGUGACGGUACCUGCAGAAAAAGCGCCGGCUAACUACGUGCCAGCAGCCGCGGUAAUACGUAGGGCGCAAGCGUUAUCCGGAAUUAUUGGGCGUAAAGAGCUCGUAGGCGGUUUGUCGCGUCUGCUGUGAAAUCCCGAGGCUCAACCUCGGGCCUGCAGUGGGUACGGGCAGACUAGAGUGCGGUAGGGGAGAUUGGAAUUCCUGGUGUAGCGGUGGAAUGCGCAGAUAUCAGGAGGAACACCGAUGGC